rnacentral:rRNA from 1 species
ACGGGUGAGUAACACGUGGGCAACCUACCUUAUCGACUGGGAUAACUCCGGGAAACCGGGGCUAAUACCGGAUAACAUCUAGCACCUCCUGGUGCCGGAUUAAAAGAGGGCUUCUUGCUCUCACGAUGAGAUGGGCCCGCGGCGCAUUAGCUAGUUGGAGAGGUAACGGCUCCCCAAGGCGACGAUGCGUAGCCGACCUGAGAGGGUGAUCGGCCACACUGGGACUGAGACACGGCCCAGACUCCUACGGGAGGCAGCAGUAGGGAAUCUUCCGCAAUGGACGAAAGUCUGACGGAGCAACGCCGCGUGAGUGAUGAAGGGUUUCGGCUCGUAAAGCUCUGUUAUGAGGGAAGAACACGUACCGUUCGAAUAGGGCGGUACCUUGACGGUACCUCAUCAGAAAGCCACGGCUAACUACGUGCCAGCAGCCGCGGUAAUACGUAGGUGGCAAGCGUUGUCCGGAAUUAUUGGGCGUAAAGCGCGCGCAGGCGGCCUCUUAAGUCUGAUGUGAAAUCUUGCGGCUCAACCGCAAGCGGCCAUUGGAAACUGGGAGGCUUGAGUACAGAAGAGGAGAGUGGAA